CCUACGGGAGGCAGCAGUGAGGAAUAUUGGUCAAUGGGCGCGAGCCUGAACCAGCCAAGUCGCGUGAGGGAAGACGGUCCUAUGGAUUGUAAACCUCUUUUGUCGGGGAGCAAAAGACGCCACGCGUGGCGUUCCGAGAGUACCCGGAGAAAAAGCAUCGGCCAACUCCGUGCAAGCAGCCGCGGUAAUACGGAGUAUGCGAGCGUUAUCCGGAUGUGUUGGGUUUAAGGGGUGCGCGGGGGGAAGAUAAAGUCAGCGGUAAAAUUGAGGGGCUCAACCUCUUCGAGCCGUUGAAACUGGUUUUCUUGAGUAAGUGAGAAGUAUGCGGAAUGCGUGGUGUAGCGGUGAAAUGCAUAGAUAUUAGGAGGAACACCAGUGGCGAAGGCGGCUUACUGGACUGUAACUGACGUUGAGGCUCGAAAGCGUGGGGAGCAAACAGGAUUAGAUACCCCUGUAGUC
rnacentral:rRNA from 1 species